rnacentral:rRNA from 1 species
AAUAGAUACCCCGGUAGUCCACGCCGUAAACGAUGAAUGCUAGGUGUUAGGGGUUUCGAUACCCUUGGUGCCGAAGUUAACACAUUAAGCAUUCCGCCUGGGGAGUACGGUCGCAAGACUGAAACUCAAAGGAAUUGACGGGGACCCGCACAAGCAGUGGAGUAUGUGGUUUAAUUCGAAGCAACGCGAAGAACCUUACCAGGUCUUGACAUCCCUCUGACCGGUCUAGAGAUAGGCCUUUCCUUCGGGACAGAGGAGACAGGUGGUGCAUGGUUGUCGUCAGCUCGUGUCGUGAGAUGUUGGGUUAAGUCCCGCAACGAGCGCAACCCUUGAUCUUAGUUGCCAGCACUUUGGGUGGGCACUCUAGGAUGACUGCCGGUGACAAACCGGAGGAAGGUGGGGAUGACGUCAAAUCAUCAUGCCCCUUAUGACCUGGGCUACACACGUACUACAAUGGCCGAUACAACGGGAAGCGAAGUCGCGAGGCGGAGCCAAUCCUAUCAAAGUCGGUCUCAGUUCGGAUUGCAGG